CCUACGGGAGGCAGCAGUAGGGAAUAUUGCUCAAUGGGCGAAACCCUGAAGCAGCAACGCCGCGUGGAGGAUGAAGGUUUUCGGAUUGUAAACUUCUUUUGUUAGAGAAGAUAAUGACGGUAUCUAACGGAUAAGCACCGGCUAACUACGGGCCAGCAGCCGCGGUAAUACGGAGGGUGCACGCGUUAAUCGGAAUCACUGGGGGUAAAGAGCGCGUAGGCGGGAUAGCAAGUCAGAUGUGAAAUCCUAUGGCUUAACCAUAGAACUGCAUUGGAAACUGUUAUUCUUGAGUGUGGGAGAGGUAGGUGGAAUUCGUGGUGUAGGGGUGAAAUGCGUAGAGAUCACGAGGAAUACUCAUUGCGAAGGCGACCUGCUAGAACAUAACUGACGCUGAUGCGCGAAAGCGUGGGGAGCAAACAGGAUUAGAUACCCGGGUAGUC
rnacentral:rRNA from 1 species